UGCUCUGCCGUGCUCACCCUGAGAAAGCUGGGCACUGCUUAGGCUUGCCCAGCCCCUGUCCCCUCCUAGUCUCCCCACCCACAGCCAAGCUCCCCACACGGGGCCGCCCCUCCCCUUCACAGGCAAGCUGUGAAGACCGCUUUGCACCCCGCUGGGCCUGGGGGUGAGCUGGGAACUGGAGGAAGCAGGGUCAUCCAGGGAGCGGAGGUGGGGACAGCCAGGAGGUUUGCUGAACCUCAUAGGUGGGAGGGUGCUGCUCAGGCACCAGGCUCUCACUUGGCCACCCCCGCAGCCCCUCUUUCUGGUAUCCUACCCCAUCUCCCACACCUGCCCUGCAUGCACAAGCCCCGCUCCCCCUACCCAGGGCUUACCCACAGGCCUCACCUGUCUUGCCCCUCCCACUCUGUGCCCCACCCACAGCCUCCCCCACCCCGCCCACUCACCCCGGCCCUCAUGCACCUGCGCGCCCACACCUGCGGUGUGAGGUGUGCUGGGGGACUGAGUGUGGGGAGGGUGAGGAAGGGUGCAGCCGUGCGGGACUGCCUGGAAUGUUGGGAAGAAGGGGGCCCUCAGAGGUCACUGGUCCUGGAGCCCACCCCAUCCUUUGACACAAGAGGCGGGAGACUUGGGACUGGACCUCCAGCCAGCCAAGCCCACCCCUGUGCCAAGCCGCUGGUCCUCGGUGCAGCUGGGACAAGUUGAGGUCUGGCUGCCAUAUCCUUCUCAACACCCCCACCCCCAGGCUAGGCUUUGGGGAGACAGAUGGUCAGAGCGAGGCUGAGGAAGGGUGGAAAAGGGGUGCAGGAGCAGAGGCGUCUCCCCAAGCCUGUUUCCAGGUGGGGGGCCGGCAGUGUGGCCGCCUGCCUCCCCCACAAAUACUACAAGGCAGAACCCUAUUGCUUCCAGGUAGAGCCUGCAGGGACGGUUCUCUGCCCUCCUGCGGACUCCGGAGCCUCCUGCAGCCUGGCCUCUUCCAAGCAGGCCUGGACACAGAUGGCGCCACCCUGCACCAUCCCACGGUGUCUGCUGCAGCGCGGCCCACAGGUCCUGCACCCUGGCCCGUGUGGCUGUUGGGGCACACUCACUCUGCCGGAGGACAGGCAGACCUGUGGCAAGUGACCCCCACAACGGGAGCUCCCUGGAGACCAGGAGGGGGCAGUGCUGAACCUGGGCACGGGGCCCAGCAGGGAGGGAGGUGUUGAAGGCAGCGUCCCCCCCCCGGCAGCAGGGACAUGGGAGUGGCCGAGGAGACCGGAGGGAGUCGAAGAGGAGGGCAUUGGGGUGGGCCAGGAGGUGGUGGGAGUGGGAACACAGACACGGGGGAGUCCUUUGGCGAGGCCGGGGGAGUCCUUCGGCGAGGCCGGGCAACCGUGUGAGCAUGCCAGUCCAGGUCAGGCUGCCGCGAUGCAGGAGCCUCGGCUGUGGGAUGGUGGCCGAUAGGGGCCUGGGAAGGGAUGAGCAGGAAGGCACCUGCACACCCUGGUGUCCUCCCAGCAUACCUGUGUCAACUGCUCACUGGGAACCCCAGGAUCCUGGCCUAGCUGGUGGAGUCCAGGCAGCACAAGGCCUGAGCGGUGAUGCCUGGACCGCCCACCCUCCCUGUCCAGUCGUGGCAGGGUGGGGGCCUGAUAUGCACGAGAGGUUUUGAUCAAGAGUUGUUUUUGCUAAAAGUUUUCACCAAGAAUGUCCCAACCAAAAUACUUGGGGAGCUCCCUCAGACAUCCCCGCAGUGCACGUAAAAUCACAGCAACUCUGCAUAAAAAGGAGCCAACCACGAGCUCAGAACGGGGCCGUCUGCGUGCACAGAGGAUCCUCACGGACUGACCGACUUGCAGCCGCUCUGCCUCCCCGCGUGGUCAAGCUGUCUGCGCGGUCAGGCCUGCGUUGGUCCCAGCGCCAGGACCUGCGGACAGCUGCCUGCGGUCGCUGCGCUCCGCGGGACUCCCCGUCUGCUCGCCCUGCCUACCCGACAUAGAUGGCUUCGGUCCACGCUCACGCCGCCCAAUUUGUAAGCUUCUCCCAAAUAAAUCUAUCGGCAAGGC